rnacentral:pre_miRNA from 1 species
UGAUGAACCUAUAGCAAGGAACCCAUUGUCGCUGCAUCAGUUGUCUGAUGAAAUCCAGCGACAAUGGGUUCCUUGCUAUAGGUUUCAUCAG